AACCUCUGGAAGAUACCUUUUGAACAACAAUGGAUUAGGAAACUGUUUUUGAGGAAGGAGACACAGAAAAGAUAGGAAAAGAGUCUUGCACAUUCCAGACAAAACCAAGCCAAUCAACCAUUCUUACACUCUCUCGAUCAUAUUAUCAUACACUUGGUGUGCCUUUUUUACCUCUAUGCAUCACUCAAGAUAGUUCUUAACAAGGCAAGCCAAGAAAAAUGUUUUAAUGGAUUUUUUGAGUUUGAAUGGAAUGUUCACUUAUGUGUCAGCCAUCACGGGUAGGGUUUUGUGUCGUUUGAGUUUGGGUGUCUGUGGACGACUGUGUGGCAGCUUGAUAGAGAUAUCAUUUCCAUCGGCGGGACGCCGUUGUUAUGAAGGUGCGAGACAAGCGAACAAACAACACCGAACCACUUUCUCUCUCUCGUCUUUGCGUUCGAUUCGAACCCUAGGCACAUUGGAUCAAUCAUUCGGAGUCUCUCUUGGAUCUUCAAUCAACUUAUACAUACACAGAAGAACAGAGAGAUAGAUAAUAGAGAGGGAGAGAGAGAGAGAAAGAGAGAGAUUGUAAGCUAAUGGCGGAACACUCUGAUUUAGACCAGCUCCUUGAUAGCGCUUGGAUGAUUUCCAAAAUCUCAAUCUUACUUCUUCUGUUCAAACUCAAAGGAGUGGAGAUGGCGAAGUGAAGAAACAUGAGAGUUCUAUAUAUGCAUUUUGGUCGCAGUAUAUAUAGUUUUGGCAACUAAAAUAUUUUAGUCGCUGAAAGAAAAAUAAAAACUAUUUUUUAUCUUUCGCGACCAAAA